rnacentral:lncRNA from 1 species
AACAAACUCCAUAAGAAGCACUCACAGAUAAUAGCACAGAAGUAGAAGAGUUUGGCAGGUUACCCUGGGACCAGGCUUCUUACAAGAUCAAGUUUUCACUCUGCAGAUCUGCCUUUUUCUCAGAGUCCAGAAUGGUCCAGUGGUGGAGCUCUAUCAUUCCCAACUUGGAUUUAUUCCUUCCCUGAUUCUGCAGAAACCAAUAUCAUCAGAAGCGGGCGAGUCAGAUGACUCCAACCACUGGCCACAACUACAGUUUCUGUAGUCAGAAGAGUGGACUGGAGCCAUCUGCCCAUUAACAUAACCCAAUGACUAGAAACAUCUGUCUUAGGCCUGGCUCUGAGUGGAAGUAAGUUUGCG